AAGGGAACGCUGGUUCAUCCAGCAUCCUCCAACCCGAUGUGUACCCGCCUUGUUGCCUCGGCGUGCCUGCGUCGUUUACGGCGCUGCCGGCUCCGGCUGGAUAGCGCACGCCAGAGGGAUCAUAAACUACAGCUUUAACGAGUGCCGUCUGAGCUUUAAUCGAAUACGUUA
rnacentral:misc_RNA from 1 species